UCUGGAGGGGUGAAGACGUUGGAAAGGGAUGGCUUCCUGCCUUCUAAAAUGACUCUUCCCUCCUCUCUGACAUCCAGGCUGCCACUCUGUUGCAGAGAGGAGGGUGGUGUUUUCUGAGCCAGGCAGGUGCAUGGUGAGCGGCAGAAGCAUGCCAGGUCCACAUGGCCCUCAUGGUCCAGCAGGAGGACAAACAGCCCCACCAUACACACCGAUUGCUUUCAAAGAGAGAGAAGAACCCAAACUUCUUGGUCGGCCUGGAAGAGAAGCACCAGGCUGGGAAGGAGCCCAGUGUACAGGUUCAACCUCGCUGCCAUGUGGACCUGCUGGCAGCCACACUGAAGAUGUUCCUGGGUGCCUUCCUGUCAAGAAGAAACCAGCAGUUGGUGGAGUUUCGAGCUGAAAACACCCAGAGACUGUGGUCGGGCCAGCCCUACAGUUUGUCAUGCACUGGGCCUGCAGCUGCUGUUGCCUGCACCCUCUGUCACAUUUUUAUUGUUCACUAAGUACACAAUUGCUGAUUUCGGGGGCAUAACCUCAGAUCCCAACCCUGUCCCUGCCCAGCCACUUCUUUACCUUCCCAAGGAGCCUUUAUUCUCUGACACACUGUGUCAUUUGAUCCCCCUGCCACCCGGCUUUGGGCUCCUAAUCCUUCUUGUUUACAGUGAGUUUAAUCUCUGUCAUGUUUAGCCUUUGGCUGGGCAGAUCCCCUCCUCCCUGGGCCAGGCCAUGUGACACAUCCAUUAGCCCCAGUGACAGGGGCUUUAAGUAUGUCUGCAUCUUGAAAGAACAGUCCCCAAAGCCUUAAACCUGCUCCCAUAAAUAGCCUUUGAAGGGCAUUUGAAGGCAAACUUGAUGAACAGGAUCAAAGAGAGGCCUGGCUGGGGACCACCCCAGUAUAGCAGAAGCCAGGUUUUGAAGCAGAAAAUCAGUGGAUUUCUCCA